rnacentral:rRNA from 1 species
UACGAAGGGGGCUAGCGUUGUUCGGAUUUACUGGGCGUAAAGCGCACGUAGUCGGAUCGUUAAGUCGGGGGUGAAAUCCUGGAGCUCAACUCCAGAACUGCCUUCGAUACUGGCGAUCUCGAGUCCGGAAGAGGUGAGUGGAACUCCUAGUGUAGAGGUGGAAUUCGUAGAUAUUAGGAAGAACACCAGUGGCGAAGGCGGCUCACUGGUCCGGUACUGACGCUGAGGUGCGAAAGCGUGGGGAGCAAACAGG